rnacentral:rRNA from 1 species
GUGGGGAAUAUUGGACAAUGGGCGAAAGCCUGAUCCAGCCAUGCCGCGUGUGUGAAGAAGGUCUUCGGAUUGUAAAGCACUUUAAGUUGGGAGGAAGGGCAGUAAAUUAAUACCUUGCUGUUUUGACGUUACCGACAGAAUAAGCACCGGCUAACUUCGUGCCAGCAGCCGCGGUAAUACGAAGGGUGCAAGCGUUAAUCGGAAUUACUGGGCGUAAAGCGCGCGUAGGUGGUUUUGUAAGUUGGAGGUGAAAUCCCCGGGCUCAACCUGGGAACUGCCUCCAAAACUGCAUGACUAGAGUACGGUAGAGGGUAGUGGAAUUUCCUGUGUAGCGGUGAAAUGCGUAGAUAUAGGAAGGAACACCAGUGGCGAAGGCGACUACCUGGACUGAUACUGACACUGAGGUGCGAAAGCGUGGGGAGCAAACAGGAUUAGAUACCCGAGUAGUCC